rnacentral:rRNA from 1 species
GGAGUUAGCCGGUGCUUCUUCUGUGAGUGAUGUCCUUCCUGCCGGUUAUUGACCCGCAGGCCUUCUUCCUCACUGAAAGUGCUUUACAACCCGAAGGCCUUCUUCACACACGCGGCAUGGCUGGAUCAGGGUUGCCCCCAUUGUCCAAUAUUCCCCACUGCUGCCUCCCGUAGGAGUCUGGGCCGUGUCUCAGUCCCAGUGUGGCUGAUCAUCCUCUCAGACCAGCUACGGAUCGUCGCCUUGGUGAGCCGUUACCUCACCAACCAGCUAAUCCGACAUAGGCUCAUCCGAUAGCGCGAGGCCCGAAGGUCCCCCGCUUUCCCCCGUAGGGCGUAUAGCGGUAUUAGCCUGGGUUUCCCCAGGUUAUCCCCCACUACCGGGCAGAUUCCUAUGCAUUACUCACCCGUCCGCCGCUCGCCACCAGGGAGCAAGCUCCCCGUGCUGCCGCUCGACUUGCAUGUGUUAGGCCUGCCGCCAGCGUUCAAUCUGAGCCAGAGCGACCCUAGA